UGGGAACCUUCCCUAUGGUUCGGAAUAGCUCAGGGAAACUUGGGGUAAUACCGGAUAAGCCCUUCGGGGAAAGAUUUAUCGCCAUUGGAUGGGCCCGCGUCGGAUUAGCUAGUUGGUGAGGUAACGGCUCACCAAGGCAACGAUCCGUAGCUGGUCUGAGAGGAUGAUCAGCCACAUUGGGACUGAGACACGGCCCAGACUCCUACGGGAGGCAG
rnacentral:rRNA from 1 species